UACGUAGGGGGCAAGCGUUGUCCGGAUUUAUUGGGCGUAAGGAGCGUGUAGGCGGCUUGGAAGGUCAGCUGUGAAAACUCGAGGCUCAACCUCGAGACGUCGGUUGAAACCACCUGGCUAGAGUCCGGAAGAGGAGAGUGGAAUUCCCGGUGUAGCGGUGAAAUGCGCAGAUAUCGGGAAGAACACCCGUGGCGAAGGCGGCUCUCUGGGACGGUACUGACGCUGAGACGCGAAAGCGUGGGGAGCGAACAGG
rnacentral:rRNA from 1 species